rnacentral:rRNA from 1 species
GACGAACGCUGGCGGCGUGCUUAACACAUGCAAGUCGAACGGAAAGGCCCUGCUUUUGUGGGGUGCUCGAGUGGCGAACGGGUGAGUAACACGUGAGUAACCUGCCCUUGACUUUGGGAUAACUUCAGGAAACUGGGGCUAAUCCCGGAUAGGAGCUCCUGCUGCAUGGUGGGGGUUGGAAAGUUUCGGCGGUUGGGGAUGGACUCGCGGCUUAUCAGCUUGUUGGUGGGGUAGUGGCUUACCAAGGCUUUGACGGGUAGCCGGCCUGAGAGGGUGACCGGCCACAUUGGGACUGAGAUACGGCCCAGACUCCUACGGGAGGCAGCAGGGGGGAAUAUUGCACAAUGGGCGGAAGCCUGAUGCAGCAACGCCGCGUGCGGGAUGACGGCCUUCGGGUUGUAAACCGCUUUCGCCUGUGACGAAGCGUGAGUGACGGUAAUGGGUAAAGAAGCACCGGCUAACUACGUG